AGUGAACGCUGGCGGUAGGCCUAACACAUGCAAGUCGAACGGCAGCACAGUAAGAGCUUGCUCUUACGGGUGGCGAGUGGCGGACGGGUGUGGAAUACAUCGGAAUCUACUUUUUCGUGGGGGAUAACGUAGGGAAACUUACGCUAAUACCGCAUACGACCUACGGGUGAAAGCAGGGGAUCUUCGGACCUUGCGCGAUUGAAUGAGCUGAUGUCGGAUUAGCUAGUUGGCGGGGUAAAGGCCCACCAAGGCGACGAUCCGUAGCUGGUCUGAGAGGAUGAUCAGCCACACUGGAACUGAGACACGGUCCAGACUCCUACGGGAGGCAGCAGUGGGGAAUAUUGGACAAUGGGCGAAAGCCUGAUCCAGCCAUACCGCGUGGGUGAAGAAGGCCUUCGGGUUGUAAAGCCCUUUUGUUGGGAAAGAAAAGCAGCAGGUUAAUACCCCGCUGUUCUGACGGUACCCAAAGAAUAAGCACCGGCUAACUUCGUG
rnacentral:rRNA from 1 species